rnacentral:rRNA from 1 species
UACAGAGGGGGCAAGCGUUGUUCGGAAUUACUGGGCGUAAAGGGCGCGUAGGCGGCCUGUUAAGUCGAACGUGAAAUCCCCGGGCUCAACCUGGGAACUGCGUCCGAAACUGGCAGGCUUGAAUCCGGGAGAGGGAUGUGGAAUUCCAGGUGUAGCGGUGAAAUGCGUAGAUAUCUGGAGGAACAUCGGUGGCGAAGGCGACAUCCUGGACCGGUAUUGACGCUGAGGCGCGAAAGCCAGGGGAGCAAACGGG